GAGUUUGAUCCUGGCUCAGGACGAACGCUGGCGGCGUGCCUAAUACAUGCAAGUCGAGCGAACCACUUCGGUGGUUAGCGGCGGACGGGUGAGUAACACGUGGGCAACCUGCCUGUAAGACUGGGAUAACUUCGGGAAACCGGAGCUAAUACCGGAUAAUCCUUUUCCUCUCAUGAGGRAAAGCUGAAAGACGGUUUCGGCUGUCACUUACAGAUGGGCCCGCGGCGCAUUAGCUAGUUGGUGAGGUAACGGCUCACCAAGGCGACGAUGCGUAGCCGACCUGAGAGGGUGAUCGGCCACACUGGGACUGAGACACGGCCCAGACUCCUACGGGAGGCAGCAGUAGGGAAUCUUCCACAAUGGACGAAAGUCUGAUGGAGCAASGCCGCGUGAGCGAUGAAGGCCUUCGGGU
rnacentral:rRNA from 1 species